AUGAACGCUGGCGGCGUGCCUAAUACAUGCAAGUCGAGCGAACAGACGAGGAGCUUGCUCCUCUGACGUUAGCGGCGGACGGGUGAGUAACACGUGGAUAACCUACCUAUAAGACUGGGAUAACUUCGGGAAACCGGAGCUAAUACCGGAUAAUAUAUUGAACCGCAUGGUUCAAUAGUGAAAGACGGUCUUGCUGUCACUUAUAGAUGGAUCCGCGCCGCAUUAGCUAGUUGGUAAGGUAACGGCUUACCAAGGCAACGAUGCGUAGCCGACCUGAGAGGGUGAUCGGCCACACUGGAACUGAGACACGGUCCAGACUCCUACGGGAGGCAGCAGUAGGGAAUCUUCCGCAAUGGGCGAAAGCCUGACGGAGCAACGCCGCGUGAGUGAUGAAGGUCUUCGGAUCGUAAAACUCUGUUAUUAGGGAAGAACAAAUGUGUAAGUAACUAUGCACGUCUUGACGGUACCUAAUCAGAAAGCCACGGCUAACUACGUGC
rnacentral:rRNA from 1 species